AGGUGCGAUCAUACCAGCACUAAUGCACCGGAUCCCAUCAGAACUCUACAGUUAAGGGUGCUCGGGCGAGAGUAGUACUAGGAUGGGUGAUCUACUGGAGAGUCCUCUUGUUGCACUUC
rfam:Phaseolus vulgaris cultivar G19833 chromosome 10, whole genome shotgun sequence.